rnacentral:rRNA from 1 species
GAUGAACGCUGGCGGCGUGCCUAAUACAUGCAAGUCGAGCGAACAGACGAGGAGCUUGCUCCUCUGACGUUAGCGGCGGACGGGUGAGUAACACGUGGAUAACCUACCUAUAAGACUGGGAUAACUUCGGGAAACCGGAGCUAAUACCGGAUAAUAUAUUGAACCGCAUGGUUCAAUAGUGAAAGACGGUUUUGCUGUCACUUAUAGAUGGAUCCGCGCCGCAUUAGCUAGUUGGUAAGGUAACGGCUUACCAAGGCAACGAUGCGUAGCCGACCUGAGAGGGUGAUCGGCCACACUGGAACUGAGACACGGUCCAGACUCCUACGGGAGGCAGCAGUAGGGAAUCGUCCGCAAUGGGCGAAAGCUUGACGGAGCAACGCCGCGUGAGUGAUGAAGGUCUGCGGAUCGUAAAACUCUGUUAUUAGGGAAGAACAAAUGUGUAAGUAACUAUGCACGUCUUGACGGUACCUAAUCAGAAAGCCACGGCUAACUACGUG